rnacentral:rRNA from 1 species
GCGGCCUAUCAGCUUGUUGGUGAGGUAAUGGCUCACCAAGGCAACGACGGGUAGCCGGCCUGAGAGGGCGACCGGCCACACUGGGAUUGAGACACGGCCCAGACUCCUACGGGAGGCAGCAGUGGGGAAUAUUGGGCAAUGGAGGAAACUCUGACCCAGCGACGCCGCGUGCGGGAUGAAGGCCUUCGGGUUGUAAACCGCUUUCAGUAGGGAAGAAGCGAAAGUGACGGUACCUACAAAAGAAGCACCGGCUAACUAUGUGCCAGCAGCCGCGGUAAUACAUAGGGUGCAAGCGUUGUCCGGAAUUAUUGGGCGUAAAGAGCUCGUAGGUCGUUUGUUACGUCGGAUGUGAAAACCUGAGGCUCAACCUCAGGCCUGCAUUCGAUACGGGCAAACUAGAGUUUGGUAGGGGAGACUGGAAUUCCU